CCUCUUGAUGAAGAAGAUAUGGUCCAGUACAUCAUCGCUGGGCUAGAUGAAGACUUCAGUCCUAUUGUCUCUGCCCUCUGCACCAAGUCUGAUCCAAUCACGGUUGGGGAGUUGUACUCUCAGCUUCUCAAUUUCUAAA
rnacentral:snoRNA from 1 species